rnacentral:rRNA from 1 species
AGAGAGAGACAUGCGCGCAUAUCAAUAAGCGGAGGAAAAGAAACUAACAAGGAUUCCCUUAGUAACGGCGAGUGAAGCGGGAAGAGCUCAAAUUUGAAAUCUUCAAGGUUCUACCUUGACGAAUUGUAGUUUAUAGAAGUGUUUUCUGUUAGUGGAGUGGCAAAAGUUCUUUGGAAUAGGACAUCAUAGAGGGUGAGAAUCCCGUAUUUGGUCAUUCCUCCUAGCGUUGUGAUACACUUUCAACGAGUCGGAUUGUUUGGGAAUGCAGUCCAAAAUGGGUGGUAAAUUUCAUCUAAAGCUAAAUAUUGGCGAGAGACCGAUAGCGAACAAGUACCGUGAGGGAAAGAUGAAAAGAACUUUGAAAAGAGAGUUAAACAGUACGUGAAAUUGUCAAAAGGGAAGCGUUUGACACCAGUGUUGUUUUUCCGAAAAUCAAUUACGAAUGUUUUAUUUUUGAGGAGUUAUGACUUCAUCGGCUUGCUCCUUUCUUUACGAAACUUUCUUAAUGCACUUUUCGGUUAACAAGUCAACAUCAAUUUCUUUUGUUGUAAAAGGGUAUGAGGAAGGUGGCUUUCUUUUCGGAGAAAGUGUUUAUAGCCUCGUACCUCUGCAAUCGGAGAGAUUGAGGUCUGCAGCGUAGAUCCUUCGGGGUUAGAUACAUUUGUGCUAAGUUAUAGCCUUUCAUAGACAACUUGUUGACUAUGAUUCAGUCAUUGUAGCUUACUCGCUUACUGCUAUUUUACCUACGCUUAGGAUGUUGAUAGUCACAGCGUGUAC